rnacentral:rRNA from 1 species
UGAGGGAUGACGGCCUUCGGGUUGUAAACCUCUUUCAGCAGGGAAGAAGCGAAAGUGACGGUACCUGCAGAAGAAGCGCCGGCUAACUACGUGCCCGCAGCCGCGGUAAUACGCAGGGCGCGAGCGUUGUCCGGAAUUAUUGGGCGUAAAGAGCUCGUAGGCGGCUUGUCACGUCGGUUGUGAAAGCCCGGGGCUUAACCCCGGGUCUGCAGUCGAUACGGGCAGGCUAGAGUUCGGUAGGGGAGAUCGGAAUUCCUGGUGUAGCGGUGAAAUGCGCAGAUAUCAGGAGGAACACCGGUGGCGAAGGCGGAUCUCUGGGCCGAUACUGACGCUGAGGAGCGAAAGCGUGGGGAGCGAACAGGAUUAGAUACCCUGGUAGUCCACGCCGUAAACGG